rnacentral:rRNA from 1 species
GCUACAAUGGAUAGUACAAAGGGUCGCGAAGCCGCGAGGUGGAGCUAAUCCCAUAAAACUAUUCUCAGUUCGGAUUGUAGGCUGCAACUCGCCUACAUGAAGCCGGAAUCGCUAGUAAUCGUGGAUCAGCAUGCCACGGUGAAUACGUUCCCGGGCCUUGUACACACCGCCCGUCACACCACGAGAGUUUGUAACACCCGAAGUCGGUAGGGUAACCUUUAUGGAGCCAGCCGCCGAAGGUGGGACAGAUAAUUGGGGUGAAGUCGUAACAAGGUAGCCGUAUCGGAAGGUGCGGCUGGAUCACCUCCUUUCUAAGGAA